CAGAUACUGAAGUUGACGAAGAAAUAUUCAGUGACCUCCUUAGACAAGGCAAUGUGGUACUGACAGUUUUCUGCUAUGAUGAGUUCUCAGAAUGGUCAUCUGCUUCUGACUCAAGCUUCAACUCAAAUGCAUCAACAUCAACAAUACUAAUGGAUGAGAUGCCACGCAAGAAGCAAAAAACUGAGAAUCCUGAGUGUCUGCUAAAAAUCUGGUUGAAGGUGUCCUACAAAGCAAGUCUAGUGGUGAAGAAAUUCUGCAGGAGUAUGAAACUACAGAAACCCUAACUGAUGCCACAAGAAGACAAAUGGUGAACAUACUGGUGGCUCACAUGAUUGAUGAACAAGGGCACCUCCCCACAAAAGCAAUCAGAGAGAAGUAUGCCUUUGGAAUAGUGACACUCUUCCCAUCCCUCAAGGAUCCAUACACCAAAAAAGGCAAUAACACUUUUAUGAUGCAGCAAGCAGCACUGGAUACAUUUCAUGGCGUCUUAAAACGGCCCUAAGGAAGAUUCAAAGAGGAUCUCUUGUGCCAUCAAGUAGCACCAAUUACAUUUCAUCUGGAGGCCCAAAUAUACAGAGAACUGUGAUUGUUGAAAAACAGCUUGAUGGGAAUGCCUGCCAGGAGGCCAUAUCUCUGCUUAACCACACCACAGACAGGUCUGUGAUCUUUCAGAAGAUGAGAGACUUUUGAGCACCAUCACAAGCUUAUUAAAGAUGCCAGUGGAAGAAAUGAUAUCCUGACCACAUUCCGGGGUUCCUGGACACAAAAGGAUUGAUUGAUCAAGACUUCCGUCUCCUAUUCAGUGAAGAAACCUCAUCCAGACUGCUGCAGAAGUGGGAUGUGUUCUUCAAACCAAAUGUCAUCAAGGAGGCUAAGCGUUUCACUUCUCCACCUGAGUUGAGAAGUUUGGUGCAGUCAGCGGAAAGUCUUCAAAGCGAUGACCUCGCUAACACAUCUAGCUAUGACCAAGAAAUGGCCUCGCUGUUACUUCUCUUACAUCUUCUUCCACCGCAACCAGGAGGACAGAAGUCUCCAAAAAUCAGUGCAAGUGAUGCAGAUGAGACACUUGUUGUCUUUCAUAAGUCAUGCUGCAGUUUAGAGGAGCAUCUUCGGGGACAAUGGGGUCUGCAGCCAUACCUCCUUGCUGUUGGGCAUCAGAAAAGCAAGAUUGACAGCUUCUACAUCGUCAUGGAUAAGUGCCUCAUCCCAUGCCAGACAAACAGUUCUCAUGGAGCAUUUGAUGAGCUAUUCAAAGCACAUUUUGUGUUUAAUUUCUCUUAUGAUGCUGCAUUGAUGAAUUUCUACAC